rnacentral:lncRNA from 1 species
GUGGAUCGGUGGAUGUAGGCUACGAUUUAGGCUUGUUUUGUGGCUGUUUUGGGUGCAGUUUGAGGGUGUGGUUUGGUAGAGUUUUAGGGCUGUGGAUGAAAGUUUUGGAUCCAUGGUAGAUGGUAGCAAAGGUUUGACAGAAAUCCGUGGAAGUUGCAGCAAGUAUGUGCUGUCUUGUAAGAGUAGAAUUGUCGUCGAAGAAACAACGGUUUCUCAACGUAAUUUCCACCAAAAACUUGAGAGAAUUGAGGAGGGAAUUGAUAUCAAAAUCACAGUUUAUAUGACAGCAAGGAUAUCUAAUUUAAUCAAGAAAAUCUCGGCAGUAUAACAGCAAGGAAAUUGGUGCAAGUUGCAAUUGCAGAAUUGUCGUCGAAAAAUUUCAGCGGGUUACGAUGAAAAUUUGCAGCAACAUAAAAUCGUUUUUAGAGAUGAAUUUCUUAAUAGAUCAAUUUUAG